rnacentral:lncRNA from 1 species
GUUCAUCUACAGAAUCGAGAUUUUUGGAAGCUGGGACGGACGAACUCCUAGAACUACUAGAAGAAGAAGUGCUGGAGGACAUUAUGGAUCGAGCAAAAACCCUAAAAAUCUUGAAAAAAUUGAGAAAAAUAAGGGAUGGGGCACUUGCGGAAAACUGAACAGGUGGAAUGUACCAGAAGAAAAAUGGAAGAAGAACAGCAAGAGAAAAAUGAAGAGGAGAGUUCUGAAACUAACCUAGGUUGGUCCGAGAAGUACAGAGAUGUGGAGAGGGG